rnacentral:ncRNA from 1 species
UCUAACACGAAAAGUCUUUCUUGUAUAAGCGCGUUGAUCGGAACGGGCGUUUCUACAGGCAACCGUAAAUUGCCCCAGGCUACAAGAGGCUGUACAGACCCG